rnacentral:rRNA from 1 species
CAGUCGCCGCGGUAAUACGAAGGGGGCUAGCGUUGUUCGGAUUUACUGGGCGUAAAGGGCAUGUAGGCGGACUGAUAAGUCAGGGGUGAAAUCCCAAGGCUCAACCUUGGAACUGCCUUUGAUACUGUUUGUCUUGAGUUCGAGAGAGGUAAGUGGAACUGCGAGUGUAGAGGUGAAAUUCGUAGAUAUUCGCAAGAACACCAGUGGCGAAGGCGGCUUACUGGCUCGAAACUGACGCUGAGGCGCGAAAGCGUGGGGAGCAAACAGGAUUAGAUACCCCGGUAGUCCCUGUCUCUUAUAU